rnacentral:tRNA from 1 species
UCCCUUUCAGCUUAGUUGGUAAAAGAAUCUGCCUGCAAUGCAGGAGACCUGGGUUCGAUUCCUGGGUUGGGAA